UUCAAGAUAAGAUUUCCCACCGCAAGGGUAAGACCCCAGAAAGACUAUCUGGUUGAUAGGUCGAAGGUGUAAGUUCAGCAAUGUAUUUAGCUUAUCGAUACUAAUAGGUCGAGGACUUGACCAAU
rnacentral:rRNA from 1 species